ensembl:lncRNA
CAGGAAACCAGCCAGUGGCUCAGAGCGCCUGCGGGGUAACCCACAACAGAGACACAACAGACGAGAGAGGCUGGGUCUCAGGAAGGAACUCUGUCUGAACUGGGGACAUCUCCAGGAGACAUGCAGAGGCCCCAACCCUCUCUGAGCCUCCAUUUGCCUCCACCAGAAACAAGGGAAGUGCAGCUUGUACCCAGGUCAGCAUGAGAAGCACCCACUACCCAGAGAGCAGAUAUCUCACAGGGAGGACCCCACACGAGAGCUGGUUCUUUCUCCAGAAGUUCAACAGAAAGGUCUGGGGGUUUCUAGAACGAAGAAAAUAGAAAGCUUCGAAGCCCCUUUGGACCGAGGGGCUAAGGUUGAAGCCUCUGCUCUACCAUUUUGCAAAUAUAUGCAUGACCUAGAGUAUGCUGUUUUUCCCCCUGAGCCUCAGUACACCAAAAGCCUGCACAGCGGCUAAGGUUCCCAGGGGGAGACAGACAGGUGAGGUACCUCUGCACCGAUAAGUUCUCGCAACCUUUCAUGGAAGAUUGGUGUUGGCUCUGCUGCUGACACAGCCUCACAACUGGGCUGCCUCUAGCUUUGAGCGUAGGGUAACAUCACAUCAGAGACUCUAAGAGGAAACACCCAGCACAAUGGUUUCUUUGUCGAGCUUUUGGAGUACCCUUUGUUCUUAACCAUCCCUCCCGGCUUCAGACUGUAACCCCCACCAGGCAUGCCCACUCCUGCCACCAGCCUCCCCAUCCUCCCAGGCCUUCAGGAUCCUGGGUAAGGGCCAUGUCCUCCAGGACAUGCUUCUAGACACACCCCUGAUAGAGACACAACCCAAGUCCAUUCUGGGUGUGUCUGUACCCUGAAGGCAGGAGCCAUGGCCUGGCCUAUGCCCAACAUAGAGUGGUCACUAGCCAGCUGGCGGUGGAAAACACACUGACGUGGCAUCCACGGACUCUGAGAGUACAAGUUCCAAUGUUCUGCCACUGACUAUGACUCUCCUUCUUCGGGCCUUCCUUACUCACCAGUCAAAUGGGAACGUUCAUCCCGUUGCAGACUACUAAGGGAGGGUUGCUGGUCUGGCCCGGCAGACAAUGAAUGGGGUACCUUAUUGUGCUCUGUGUUAGUAAGACAGCCACUUACUGCUUCGUGUCUGUGCAUCGGUGUUAUGAAACAUAUGGGGCCAGACUCGGAAGAUCCCAGCAGCAACACUAACAUUUCACCCCCAAGCCCCAGACAGGAGUCUAGCAUGGCUGUCCUCUGAGCAGCUCCACCCACCAACUGACUCAGAGUCAUACACCCACAGCCAAACAGUGGAUGGAGCUUGAGGAUUCUUAUGGAAGAAGAGGAGGAAGGAUUGCAGCCCCUAAGGGGAUAGGAACUCCACGAGAAGACCACCAGACUCAACUAACCUGGACUCUUGGGGCUCUCAGAGACUGAACCACCCACCACAGAGCAUACACAGGGUGGACAUAGGCUUCACUGCACAUACGUAGCAGAAAUGCAGCUUGGUCUUCAUGUGGAUCCUGAACGGGGGCUCUCCUAAAAGCUGUUGACUGUAUGGGGGAUAUGUAUGGGCUGCCUUGUCUGGCCUCAGUGGAGAGGAUGCAUCUAGCCCCCACACUCUCAG